CUGAGUCAAAGAGCUCUGACCAGAGGGAAGCUGAAAUAGGUAACUGGCCGAAUGUUGCUGGUUCAUGCCAGAUGCUGGAGACCAAAGGACCUUUCUGAGGAAACUCAUUUAACCCUCAGUCUCAGUUUGUCCACCUAUGAAAUGGAAAUAACAGUUUCUGCCUUGAAGAUGAUGUGAGGAAUUAAUGUGAUGCUGCCUGGAAGGAGUCUAGCACAUUACCUGGCAUGGGGACUGAAUUAUGCAGGAUAAGGAGGCUGCAAAAAUACUGUGGCAUUUUACAGAUGAGGACACUGAAGCUUAAAGAGG